CAGUAGCGUAUAUUAAAGUUGUUGCAGUUAAAAAGCUCGUAGUUGGAUUUCUGGUCUGGCGAACCUGACCCGCUCAUUUUUGAGUGUGUGUCGGCGUUUGCCUACCAUCCUUCCAGAGAACUUCCUCUGCCAUUCACUUGGUUGGAGGAGCGAUCUGGAACUUUUACUUUGAAAAAAUUAGAGUGUUCAAAGCAGGCUUGCGCUAUGAAUACAUUAGCAUGGAAUAAUAAUUUAGGACUUCGGUUCUAUUUUAUUGGUUGCGGAACUGAAGUAAUGAUUGAUAGGGAUAGUUGGGGGUGCUAGUAUUCAGCGGCCAGAGGUGAAAUUCUUAGAUUCGCUGAAGACUAACUUAUGCGAAAGCAUUCACCAAGGAUGUCUUCUUUAA
rnacentral:rRNA from 1 species